GAAUAACUUUGUGCUUAUAACUUGUUUGAAAUUGUUUACUUUUUAGUUAAAUCCUCUUGGGUGCCUUUAGCUGCUCUAUAGUUUUAUUUUUUUUUGUUACAUGAUAAUUCUUCUGUUUUACACGGAAGGAAUCGCACAGGGUGUGCUGAUGGAAAAUGUAUUUGAAUAGAAAAAUGUCCUUUUCUUAUAAGAAGCUUUGUCCCUGUUGAGAUUUGAUUUGAUGAAGUAUUUACUUUGGUUUCAGCAUGCUCUGCCUGUUCAGUAUAUUGCAUUUUUUGGCUUUAGCAUUAGCAUCCCCCUAUUGCAAAGGCCUGGUUUGAACUAAGGGCAGUGUAUACUGCUCAGUGCUUUCUUUUUUGUCAAAGGAUAUUUUUUCAAUGAAAUCCCAAGGAAGGGUCAAUGGCCUCGCUUGUAUCGGAAGCAGCUCUCUUCAUUACCAUUCAAAUAAAGGGAAAAAGACUGAUGUGAACAAUCUGUAACUAAUUCCAAGUGCCAAUUGAGCCUUUUUAACUUGGAAGAAGAUGCGCUUCAGGUACGAGUACGAAGCCCCAACGUUUGACUUGAAAUCCAUCGCAGAAGCCGUCAGUCCCGUCCAGAGUGUUGUAAAUUAGUUCCAGUCUCCAAGAGGCCGCUGUAACUAAUGGAUAUGACCUGGAAGUGGAUAAAGUCCAUAACAGUGCCUGAAUUUAUUGAUGCCAGAAGAAGGGGGAGAUUCAACAGCAACAACAGAAAGGGAUUUCCUGGCAGCAACACUAUGUCAAACUCAUUCCUUACCCAGUUCUGUUGCUGUAAGUUUUUGACCACCAGUUAAAAAUUUGAUAUCUCUAUACACAUGACAUACUUCUAACAA